AAUCAGAAGAAUUCACCUGAAAAGGAUACAGCCUCCUCCUGGAAGUCAGAGGAGUAAAUAGGGAAUUGGAAAUUAAUUCCUUAUUUCUGUGCAUGCACAGAAUCUGGGCCCAGGUGACUUAUGGAACCUUUAUAGAGACCAAGGUGACUGACAUUCAUGGGAAAGGGGGUAGAGGGGCAAUAACUGACUGUUCGUCAAAAAUUAUUAGACGAGUGUGUCCACGACACCAGGAGAUAUGUUGAAUCAUGGACAGGUACCAGCAUAUCCACUAAGCUCUAUAUAUGUUGAUGGUGCAAGAUCCAAGUGGGAUGGAACAACAAAUUCCUGCUCAUCCUCCUGCUCAAUAAUACAUGUGCUCAGAAUCUGUUCAUAAUGCAUGGUGGACUCUAGCCCUGAUCUGCUCUCUUCUGGGAGCAUCUGAUAGAACGAACAGAAACCCCUCUCCCACUGUCCUCCUGUGUCCAGAGUGGGAGGCAUAACUGCUUUGCCUCCAGUCGUCAUCUGGGGGCAUAUCUACUCUUCGAGGACCAGGGGUUCGGGACCCUGGAACAGGAUCUGAAUUCCAAGCUGACCUCAGGGGUACAUGAAGACUGCUAGAUGAGAUGGGAUCUCACUGUGCUGCCCAGGCUGGUCUCGAACUGCUG
rnacentral:antisense_RNA from 1 species